UUUUCUGCAUUCCCAUCAGCCAAAAACGUCCUAAGGGUUUCUUCAAGCUGGUUUUUCAUAAUUUUUGCACCAAAUCCGGAAAAUUCAAAUACGAAGCAAGAUCGAGGAAAAGAAAAAGUUCGGGAUUAGUAGAUUUUUUGGUUACGAACAAGUGUCGAGAGUUAAAAGCUCGCAGGUCGGAUUUGGUCGGAGACACAUCACACUAUCAAUCUCGAGGUCUCGGUACAUAAAGGAACUUUAUUUUGGAAAUCAAUGGCAUGUAUAAGCUAGUAAAUUAGAUGUUAAUGUGAAAUGAAUGUAUGGUUAGCCAUUGGUAUGGCUAACAAAUUUUGGUUUUGGUAUGUGAUGAAAUUAGCUUUACUUUACCCUGUUGAUGCCUACAUCUUAUUGUCGAAAGCUCUGCAACUUGGAACCUCAAUUAAAUCUAUGUGUUUCUGGUUCAGUUGCCUUCAUUCGCCUCCAACAUUUGUUUGAGAAUAUUGAUUUAAUAAUAUCAAAUUGGUUAUGUUC